CUAUCUUGCUAGAUUGAUGGCGAGUGGCGAACGGGUGAGUAAUACAUCGGAACGUGCCCUGUAGUGGGGGAUAACUAGUCGAAAGAUUAGCUAAUACCGCAUACCACCUGAGGGUGAAAGUGGGGGACCGCAAGGCCUCAUGCUAUAGGAGCGGCCGAUGUCUGAUUAUCUAGUUGGUGAGGUAAAGGCUCACCAAGGCGACGAUCAGUAGCUGGUCUGAGAUGACGAUCAGCCACACUGGGACUGAGACACGGCCCAUACUCCUACGGGAGGCAGCAAUGGGGAAUUUUGGACAAUGGGGGCAACCCUGAUCCAGCAAUGCCGCGUGUGUGAAGAAGGCCUUCGGGUUGUAAAGCACUUUUGUCCGGAAAGAAAUCGCACUUACUAAUAUUAGGUGUGGAUGACGGUACCGGAAGAAUAAGGACCGGCUAACUACGUGCCAGCAGCCGCGGUAAUACGUAGGGUCCAAGCGUUAAUCGGAAUUACUGGGCGUAAAGCGUGCGCAGGCGGUUGUGCAAGACCGAUGUGAAAUCCCCGGGCUUAACCUGGGAAUUGCAUUGGUGACUGCNCGGCUAGAGUGUGUCAGAGGGGGGUAGAAUUCCACGUGUAGCAGUGAAAUGCGUAGAGAUGUGGAGGAAUACCGAUGGCGAAGGCAGCCCCCUGGGAUAACACUGACGCUCAUGCACGAAAGCGUGGGGAGCAAACAGGAUUAGAUACCCUGGUAGUCCACGCCCUAAACGAUGUCAACUAGUUGUUGGGGAUUCAUUUCCUUAGUAACGUAGCUAACGCGUGAAGUUGACCGCCUGGGGAGUACGGUCGCAAGAUUAAAACUCAAAGGAAUUGACGGGGACCCGCACAAGCGGUGGAUGAUGUGGAUUAAUUCGAUGCAACGCGAAAAACCUUACCUACCCUUGACAUGCCACUAACGAAGCAGAGAUGCAUUAGGUGCUCGAAAGAGAAAGUGGACACAGGUGCUGCAUGGCUGUCGUCAGCUCGUGUCGUGAGAUGUUGGGUUAAGUCCCGCAACGAGCGCAACCCUUGUCUCUAGUUGCUACGAAAGGGCACUCUAGAGAGACUGCCGGUGACAAACCGGAGGAAGGUGGGGAUGACGUCAAGUCCUCAUGGCCCUUAUGGGUAGGGCUUCACACGUCAUACAAUGGUGCAUACAGAGGGUUGCCAAGCCGCGAGGUGGAGCUAAUCCCAGAAAAUGCAUCGUAGUCCGGAUCGUAGUCUGCAACUCGACUACGGAAGCUGGA
rnacentral:rRNA from 1 species